rnacentral:rRNA from 1 species
GACGAACGCUGGCGGCGUGCUUAACACAUGCAAGUCGAACGGAAAGGCCCUGCUUUUGUGGGGUGCUCGAGUGGCGAACGGGUGAGUAACACGUGAGUAACCUGCCCUUGACUUUGGGAUAACUUCAGGAAACUGGGGCUAAUACCGGAUAGGAGCUCCUGCUGCAUGGUGGGGGUUGGAAAGUUUCGGCGGUUGGGGAUGGACUCGCGGCUUAUCAGCUUGUUGGUGGGGUAGUGGCUUACCAAGGCUUUGACGGGUAGCCGGCCUGAGAGGGUGACCGGCCACAUUGGGACUGAGAUACGGCCCAGACUCCUACGGGAGGCAGCAGUGGGGAAUAUUGCACAAUGGGCGGAAGCCUUAUGCAGCAACGCCGCGUGCGGGAUGACGGCCUUCGGGUUGUAAACCGCUUUCGCCUGUGACGAAGCGUGAGUGACGGUAAUGGGUAAAGAAGAACCGGCUAACUACGUG